rnacentral:lncRNA from 1 species
UUCUUCUUCAUCCUUCUCUUCCUCCUCUUCUUCUUUCUCCUCUCCCUCUUUCUCCUCUUCUUUAUCAUCCUGUUCCCCCUCUUCUUCAUGCUCCUGUUCAUCCUCCUAUACCUGCUCGUCUUCUUCAUGCUCCUGUUCAUCCUCCUAUACCUGCUCGUCUUCUUCGUCCUCGCCGGCCCUUGAUCUUCCUUUCUUCCUCUGCUCUGCUCGCAGGAGGCGGUGGAGUGGGAGCACAAGAGCAAGGUCGCCGGCAGGAUGCACGCCUGCGGCCACGACGCCCACGUCGCCAUGCUCCUCGGCGCCGCCCGGAUACUGAAAUCCCGCGAGGCCCACCUCCAGGUCAGACACACACAGGCAGACAAGAUAGAUGAAUAGGUGGAUAGAGAGAGCGAGAGAGAGCUGACCUUGUGCAGUGGGUUUCUGGCAGGGGACGGUGAGGUUGAUCUUCCAGCCGGCGGAGGAGGCGGGGAAUGGCGCCAUGAGGAUGAUCAAGGAAGGGGCGCUGGAGGGAGCAGAGGCCAUAUUCGCCGCCCACGUCUCGCACGAGCACCCCACCUCCAUCGUCGC